GAUGAACGCUGGCGGCGUGCCUAAUACAUGCAAGUCGAGCGAACAGACGAGGAGCUUGCUCCUCUGACGUUAGCGGCGGACGGGUGAGUUACAUGUGGAUAACCUACCUAUAAGACUGUGAUAACUUCGGGAAACCGGUGCUAAUACCGGCUAAUAUCUUGAACCGCAUGGUUCAAUAGUGAAAGACGGUUUUGCUGUUACUUAUAGAUGGAUUCGCGCCGCAUUAGCUAGUUGGUAUGGUAACGGCUUACCAAGGCAACGAUGCGUAGCCGACCUGAGAGGGUGAUCAGCCACACUGGAACUGAGACACGGUCCAGACUCCUACGGGAGGCAGCAGUAGGGAAUCUUCCGCAAUGGGCGAAAGCCUGACGGAGCAACGCCGCGUGAGUGAUGAAGGUCUUCGGAUCGUAAAGCUCUGUUAUUAGGGAAGAAAAAAUGUGUAAGUAACUAUGCACGGCUUGACGGUACCUAAUCAGAAAGCAACGGCUAACUACGUG
rnacentral:rRNA from 1 species